AAGAGAUGAGUGGAAAAGACCCCUUUUUACCACUCCUGGGCGGCCUCCAGCCCUUAAAAUCCACCCUUGGGUCGGCCAAAACUGGCCGGCACCGUCCCUCCCCAUCCCUCCCGGGCAAGGGACGAGCUCCGCGGUGGCACACACCAGUCGAAGGGAGGCAAGGAAGACUCGGCGGUCCACCUACCGGCGGAGUUGUCCCUUAACGGUGGACGACGACUGGGAGAGGACUGCCCUCCAGUGAACGUAGCACACACAUGACGAGGGGUUGAAGUGAAAGUCGAAACAGUCCGCUUACAGACGAGCCGACGCCGAAGUAGAAGCCGACCGUCGCCGUGAGCAGAGCUGUCGGGCCACCGUGUAGCCGCCACGCCACCAGUAGGCUACCGCCCAUGUGCCGGACCUUCCCGCGCCGCCGUCCAUGGCCGGAGCAACAACCACACCAGGCCGCUGCCUAACCUGUGCCUCCCACCCCGAUCUUGCUGUCAGAUCCGGAUGAGCGCGCCGCCACCAGCCCCACAUCUACGAAGCCGCCUCCGCACGCACCCAUGGAGGCACGAGGAAGACCUCUAGGAGCGGUAGGAGGAUCCAUCGGCGGCCAUCAGGCCAUCCGCCGCCCGGAUCCGCUCGGACCCGAGCCAGAUCGAGCGGCCGCAACGGGCGCCACCACCUCGCAGCCCACUGCGCAGGGCCAUGCCGAGGAGCCCUGCGCUCGCGCGCCGCCGCCACCGUAAGCACCGUGCCCCCCUCUCCCACCCACUCCGCUGUGUUUGGAUGUGGAGAUUGAGGGGUAGAAUUGUGUAAUUGGGUGCGUGCGUUUGGGUGGUCAUAGACAUUGGACCGUGAUAUUGGAAGCAGCCUGGGAACACUUCGCGCGCUCUUCCAGAAUUCUUUGCUCUGGCGCUCGGUUUUGGGCUGAUUUCGCUCGACCGCCCCAGAAGCGAAAAGGGCUCGCGCGGGACGAGGUGGAGAAGCGGCGGCACGCGGGGGCGCAGGUUGUUUAGCUGAGGCAGAUUCAAGGUUUGUUCAUCUAUAAUUUGUGUUAUCCUGUCAUAUGUGAUGUUUGUUUGCUGGUAGAAUAAGCAAAUAAAUUUGCCUUGCCAUAAUUUGUGCUAUCCUGUCAUAUGUGAUGUUUGCCUGCUAUCCUUUCAUAUGUGAUGUUUGCUUGCUAUCCUCAAAUGGUUCAGAUGUGGUGUGCCAAGUCAGGGUUUAUUAAUCUCUGUGAUGGAAUGAUACAUAAUUUUAGAAUGCUUGCUGCACCAUGUCUUGGGUUAUACUUGUGUGUCUAAAUAAUAUAUUAUUUUGGAAUGCUUGUUGCACCAUGGCUUUCUAUAUUUACUUGUGUAAUUGAAUGAGGCAUGCAUGGCUAAUUUCUGAAAUCUCUACUAUUAAAGGGGGAUCGAACGUCGUGAUGGUUCGACCUCCCCUCGUGGUUCGACACCUCGUUCGAUCCCCCCACCUCGUUGGACACGUAUCAUUGGGCCACCUCCUUCCCACGAUCCAUCCACGAGACCAUGAUCGCCUCUCGCGAGAACCGCAACGAUCUUUUUACAGCACCUCCCACACUUCCAACCCUCCGGUUUACAAGGGGAAAAACCAAAAAAGAAACAACCCUACCCACGCAUGCACGUUUCCUAUGCAAUCCAGAACUGCCGCUAGACCAGGCAAAAUCAACGCACCGGUAUGCACACAUCCAUACAUGCACGAUCUGCUAGGGCUUCUCCUUAUUUCCUAACGACCUGACCAUGCAUGUUCCUCCUUCCUGGUCAUGCUCGCCAUCGUGCCAGACGGGAGGCCGCCAUGUGCACCGUUUCAAUGGUGUUCCUCCUCGAGGAGCGCGUCACUAGCAUGACGCGGGCGGGGAAGUGGUGGACGCGCAGGGUUCACGCCUACGUUUGGGGUGGCCAUCGCGCUCUACCUCCUGGCCUCUGAACUCACCAGCAUCGGUCGCCGCGGCGGCGUUGUCUCUAUCGUCUUCAUCGAGAUGCUCCUGGUGGUCCUCUAUAAAGCCCCGAGCCCUGGACAGGGUUGAUCGUCGAGGCGGAAGCGGCUGAGGCCCGGAGCCCCCUCGAAUCGCCACGACUCAUGGAGGAGCAGAAAACAAGCCGGCAAUGUGCCUGAGCUAGGGCAGUGGGGGCUGCAAUCCAGGUAGUUUUUUUCCUCAUCUCUUAUGCUCAUUUCUCUUUGUGGUCUACAAGGGCGUGCUACGGCUGCGCGUACAGACAUGGCCAUCGCUCUAGCUACAUUCAUCCCGGUGCAGGACCGCUCGUCUCGGCAUCGCAGAAUCGCAGGCGAGGGCGCCGGUGACGGCUGCCAGGUGCUCGUGGGGCUACUGAAGGGCGCGGGCGAGGCACAUGGUUGAUGCUUGGGACAGCUGCGGAGCGGCGUGCGCGAGUGCAGGGCAGGCAGUAGCCAGGGCGGCGGGAGAGGACCUAGGACACGUUGUGUUCAUGUAAUCAUCUUGUUCGUCUCUCCCUUUUGUUCGUCCUGUGUGACUAUGUUUUCCUCUUAUAUCCUGUAGCUCUAACUAUGCUUUCCUCUUGCAUCCUGUAGCUUUAAGAACGACUUGUGCAGGUAAUUUAUUUCUGGUCACCAAAACAAGUUUGUUCUUACACUUUGACGUUCGUAUUUGCAAGCAAUAUAUAUUCUAGCUGUCCUA